CAUCAGUAACCUUUCUCUCUAAACCAACAGCCCUAACCAAAGAACCUCUUCAACCAUCGCCGCCACCCCACCCCCCAUCACGUCACUUCCGUCACCUCACCACCACCACGCCCAUCAGACCACGGAACCAAACACCCCACUCUCUCUUUAAUCCAAAACCCUUAAGUUCGUUGAUUUGAUGCCAUAGCCGCCUCCACUGCUACCACGUCUCCUGUCCUUUUGAUUGACGUGGUGGCAGAGCCGAAAGGAGCCAAUAUAGGUCGUUUCAACCUCUGUAGAAGAGGAGUGCAAUGAACCACCAGUUUCAAGCUCGAACUCUCCUUCGAUUCAGUGGGUAAUGGAGGAAUCUACCAUGUAUUAGACUCCAACGGCUCUUCUCCUCUCAAAUCGAACUGAAAAGCUAAGCAAGGAUUGCUUUAAGCGGAUUCGGAGACUAGACGACGAUAAUAGCCUCAGUUCAAUGUCACGGAGAAGGUACAGAUAGUCGGUUUGGUGACCCUUCAGCAUAGGACUUCUACUCAGCUGUCUUGGAAAGCUCCGUUGUUCCGGAGCCUAGACUUUUGGUACAGAUCUUAUGAUGUAUAUGUAUAUGUUUAUCCAGGGGUACGGCGGUGCCCUGUCCCGUCAUAUUUUGCUAUCCAUACUCUUAGAGGUCUGUAGACAUGUGUGGGUUGUGUAUAAAUUCUGUUUAGCUGUGCCUAUACGAUGUGCAAUGAUAUGAUGUUCGUCUGUAGUGGCAGCCUUGUUGGCUUGCGUAUCGUUUUAUGAUUUGAUUAGUUGUGACUCCUCAGGAGAUAGUUUAUCUGGAUAUUUAUAUACGUGACGACGUUAUGAACCUUGGAGUUCUUUUGCAAAUUUUCAUAUUGUUCUUAGAUUCAGUUUGACUAUAUCCAACAGGUACGUAUACGAGUGUCCAGGUCGGGCACUAGUCAUGGCCCAUGGGAUUGGGUCGUGACAUUAAUCAUUUUUAUUUUUAUUUUUAAAAGGAACAGAAUGAGAUGCUAAAGGUUGUGAAAUGACAUUAGUUAGAGUUUUGGUAUUAAGAUUGUGAUCAAUGGUUUUUAUUUUAAAUCGUUCUCCCCAUUUCAUAACAAAAUUUCCAGCCAUGCUUAAGUGAAAAAUGAAAAUUUCUUACUAUUGGUAUAACAUUGUUGGAAAACCAUUAUGUGAUUAAGUGUUCAUAUAGUCUUUCAACUCGCAUAACUAGUGACCUGUGUGAAGAUCGGGACUUUACUAGAAAUUAGUAUUUGUAGUCGAGGGUAAUAAGAAGGGGCUAGGUGCAUGACUAAAACUAUUAAGUAGGAUGAUUAAGCACUUAGAUUGAAGCUACUGUUUUCCUCCUCAUUCUAAAAGUUUGAAUCUUUUUGUCCAUUCUUUGACUGAUAUGAAAAUUUAGUUUGAACAAGCAAGUCUUUUCUCUUUUAAUCAACUGCUUCAAUUUCUUUUUUUUUUCUCUGAACCAUUUGCUUCUCCUUCUAGCCCUUUCAUGAAUGUUGAACACAUAUAUGAAUCCAGCGGCUGUUCUUACCAUAGGCAGUGUGUCCUUGAAAUGAUGGUAUAAUGUGUCUAAUUUAUUAAAGUUUAGGGGUUGUUUUGUCAUUUUCUUUUAGGGUUCUUAAAAAAAAAGUGUGCUAUUUGAGUUGUCUUUUGUUGAGAAUUUGAAAUUUGAUUACUGGAAGUUGUAUAUCCGGGCCCCUUUAUUAUUGCGACAGCUUUUGUGGCAUCCUAGUUAUGCUUUGUGGUUAAAAGGUUCUGUUUGUAGGUAAAAUUAGAUAAAAAAUAAAAGUAGUGACCUGUGGUAUUUUGUGAACAUUAGAAGUCGAGAAAUGAUGGUUGUUGUAGUGUCUCCUGAGUAUGU